UACGUAGGUGGCAAGCGUUAUCCGGAUUUAUUGGGUUUAAAGGGUGCGUAGGCGGCUUUGUAAGUCAGCGGUGAAAGUCAGUCGCUCAACGAUUGGAUUGCCAUUGAUACUGCAAGGCUAGAGUAAAGUAUAGGUAGGCGGAAUGGAUGGUGUAGCGGUGAAAUGCAUAGAUAUCAUCCAGAACACCGAUAGCGAAGGCAGCUUACCGGGCUUUAACUGACGCUGAGGCACGAAAGUGCGGGGAUCAAACAGG
rnacentral:rRNA from 1 species